AUGCACAUGCUGUGAGCUCGAUGAGUAGGGCGGGACACGUGGUAUCCUGUCUGAAUAUGGGGGGACCAUCCUCCAAGGCUAAAUACUCCUGACUGACCGAUAGUGAACCAGUACCGUGAGGGAAAGGCGAAAAGAACCCCGGCGAGGGGAGUGAAAAAGAACCUGAAACCGUGUACGUACAAGCAGUGGGAGCACAGAGCAAUCUGUGUGACUGCGUACCUUUUGUAUAAUGGGUCAGCGACUUAUAUUCUGUAGCAAGGUUAACCGAAUAGGGGAGCCGAAGGGAAACCGAGUCUUAACUGGGCGUUAAGUUGCAGGGUAUAGACCCGAAACCCGGUGAUCUAGCCAUGGGCAGGUUGAAGGUUGGGUAACACUAACUGGAGGACCGAACCGACUAAUGUUGAAAAAUUAGCGGAUGACUUGUGGCUGGGGGUGAAAGGCCAAUCAAACCGGGAGAUAGCUGGUUCUCCCCGAAAGCUAUUUAGGUAGCGCCUCGUGAAUUCAUCUCCGGGGGUAGAGCACUGUUUCGGCAAGGGGGUCAUCCCGACUUACCAACCCGAUGCAAACUGCGAAUACCGGAGAAUGUUAUCACGGGAGACACACGGCGGGUGCUAACGUCCGUCGUGAAGAGGGAAACAACCCAGACCGCCAGCUAAGGUCCCAAAGUCAUGGUUAAGUGGGAAACGAUGUGGGAAGGCCCAGACAGCCAGGAUGUUGGCUUAGAAGCAGCCAUCAUUUAAAGAAAGCGUAAUAGCUCACUGGUCGAGUCGGCCUGCGCGGAAGAUGUAACGGGGCUAAACCAUGCACCGAAGCUGCGGCAGCGACGCUUAUGCGUUGUUGGGUAGGGGAGCGUUCUGUAAGCCUGCGAAGGUGUGCUGUGAGGCAUGCUGGAGGUAUCAGAAGUGCGAAUGCUGACAUAAGUAACGAUAAAGCGGGUGAAAAGCCCGCUCGCCGGAAGACCAAGGGUUCCUGUCCAACGUUAAUCGGGGCAGGGUGAGUCGACCCCUAAGGCGAGGCCGAAAGGCGUAGUCGAUGGGAAACAGGUUAAUAUUCCUGUACUUGGUGUUACUGCGAAGGGGGGACGGAGAAGGCUAUGUUGGCCGGGCGACGGUUGUCCCGGUUUAAGCGUGUAGGCUGGUUUUCCAGGCAAAUCCGGAAAAUCAAGGCUGAGGCGUGAUGACGAGGCACUACGGUGCUGAAGCAACAAAUGCCCUGCUUCCAGGAAAAGCCUCUAAGCAUCAGGUAACAUCAAAUCGUACCCCAAACCGACACAGGUGGUCAGGUAGAGAAUACCAAGGCGCUUGAGAGAACUCGGGUGAAGGAACUAGGCAAAAUGGUGCCGUAACUUCGGGAGAAGGCACGCUGAUAUGUAGGUGAAGCGACUUGCUCGUGGAGCUGAAAUCAGUCGAAGAUACCAGCUGGCUGCAACUGUUUAUUAAAAACACAGCACUGUGCAAACACGAAAGUGGACGUAUACGGUGUGACGCCUGCCCGGUGCCGGAAGGUUAAUUGAUGGGGUCAGCGCAAGCGAAGCUCUUGAUCGAAGCCCCGGUAAACGGCGGCCGUAACUAUAACGGUCCUAAGGUAGCGAAAUUCCUUGUCGGGUAAGUUCCGACCUGCACGAAUGGCGUAAUGAUGGCCAGGCUGUCUCCACCCGAGACUCAGUGAAAUUGAACUCGCUGUGAAGAUGCAGUGUACCCGCGGCAAGACGGAAAGACCCCGUGAACCUUUACUAUAGCUUGACACUGAACAUUGAGCCUUGAUGUGUAGGAUAGGUGGGAGGCUUUGAAGUGUGGACGCCAGUCUGCAUGGAGCCGACCUUGAAAUACCACCCUUUAAUGUUUGAUGUUCUAACGUGGACCCGUAAUCCGGGUUGCGGACAGUGUCUGGUGGGUAGUUUGACUGGGGCGGUCUCCUCCUAAAGAGUAACGGAGGAGCACGAAGGUUGGCUAAUCCUGGUCGGACAUCAGGAGGUUAGUGCAAUGGCAUAAGCCAGCUUGACUGCGAGCGUGACGGCGCGAGCAGGUGCGAAAGCAGGUCAUAGUGAUCCGGUGGUUCUGAAUGGAAGGGCCAUCGCUCAACGGAUAAAAGGUACUCCGGGGAUAACAGGCUGAUACCGCCCAAGAGUUCAUAUCGACGGCGGUGUUUGGCACCUCGAUGUCGGCUCAUCACAUCCUGGGGCUGAAGUAGGUCCCAAGGGUAUGGCUGUUCGCCAUUUAAAGUGGUACGCGAGCUGGGUUUAGAACGUCGUGAGACAGUUCGGUCCCUAUCUGCCGUGGGCGCUGGAGAACUGAGGGGGGCUGCUCCUAGUACGAGAGGACCGGAGUGGACGCAUCACUGGUGUUCGGGUUGUCAUGCCAAUGGCACUGCCCGGUAGCUAAAUGCGGAAGAGAUAAGUGCUGAAAGCAUCUAAGCACGAAACUUGCCCCGAGAUGAGUUCUCCCUGACUCCUUGAGAGUCCUGAAGGAACGUUGAAGACGACGACGUUGAUAGGCCGGGUGUGUAAGCGCAGCGAUGCGUUGAGCUAACCGGUACUAAUGAACCGUGAGGCUUAACCUUACAACGCCGAAGGUGUUU
rnacentral:rRNA from 1 species